ACCAAGGGUGGGGGUGGGGCUCCCGGCCCUGGCUGAUGGCCCUCCGUGCGUGGCAGGUGGGGACACACAUCCGCGCCAAGAGGAAGAGAGAGGAGCUGAGCAGCGUCCUGGCGGCCAUGAGGAAAGCGGCAGCCAAGAAGGACUGAACCCCCGCUCUCUACACAAGAAAGCCUUUUCAGGAACUUGGGGUAUUCCGUCUGGUCCAUCUGCUCAGAGCCCCCUGCUGCCACCCUCCUUCCUGGGCCACAGAGGUGUGGGCAUGUGGCAGUAGAAGAAAAAAGAAGCAGGCAGUACUGGAAAUGGUGUUUUAAUCAUAACUAAAUAAGUCAUAUGCCAGGCUCAGUGAUUGGGCUGUAAGUCAGGUUCCUGAGCCUCGGGGGGCUCAGCUGCCCGGGGCCUCUGCCCUGCUGGGCCCGUCGGUGCCAGCCACGCCCAGGCUGCCGUCACCGCUCCAGGGCCAGAGCCUCGGCCUGCUCCUCGGGGAAGGCUAUGGCGAAGAUUUCAUGGUAGUGCUCCACGAAGUGGACCUCCAGGCCCUCGGUAAUGAAGGCAGCCAGGCCGUAGAAGUCCUUCUUGUUCUCGGCCGGCAGGACAACGCAUGUCACGCCAGCGCGUUUGGCCUGAGGGGACAGCAGGUCAGCCAAGGGCAGAAAUGGGGUUAGGAGCCUAGGCCUCGUCCUGGAAUCCCCACCCUGUGGUGUCAGGGGGAGACGUUUCCUGAAUCCACGGCAGUGCCCACUGCCUUACACUUAGCGGUUCACACUUACUUGUGCAGGGGGGGAGCUGGAAAGGAACCGUGAGUGCAUUUGAAAUACAGCCAACAUGACAUUUCCCUGCUUGCCUGGAAUUCCAGCCCGAUAGGCCCGGGCCUCUGCACUGCCAUCCCUCAGCCUGAAUCCACCCCUUGGAGGACAGGGACUCGGUCCACGGGAACUCCUGGAGCCUCUGUCCCCCUGUGGAGACCCUGCCCCCCAAAGGCUGUUAGGCGGGGUGCUGUGGAGGGUGCUCUGCCAAGGGUAAGAUGGCACGGGUGUGCCUCUGGUCUCGGCCCACCAACCUAGUUCCCAUGCAAGGCCCCAUGGGCGAGGGGGCAGCAGGCGGGGCGGGGGUCCCACUGCCAUCCUCCAGGAGCCGGACGGGUACUUUCUCAUGAAGAGGCCCUGAGCAUGAUGCAAAUGACUGGAGGGGCAGCCACAGGCCCAGUCCCGUGCCACCCUAGGCUUCGCUUUGUCAGCCUAUAAAACCGGCCAUCCACCUUCGUUGCCCAACCCGUGUAAUGGUGCUCCUUAUGGCGAUGGUCUUCUCCUUGAUGCCGCCCAUGGGCAGGAUCUUGCCAGUGAGAGAGACCUCGCCGGUUAUGGCCAGAUUCUGCCGCACGGGCCGGUCCAUGGCCAGCAAGAGCAGAGCUGUGAUGAUGAUGCAGCCUGCGCUCGGGUCGUCCUUGGGGGUGGCGCCCUUGGGGGAGAUGCAGGUGGGUGGUGGGCCCCACUGCACGCAGCGGUCAGGGCCAGAGUGGGGGCCUGGGCGGGGCCCUCACCUCGGGCACGUGCAGGUGGAGGUGGGAAGUCACCAGAUCCUCGGAGGGGUCGUGCUGCACCAGGAAGGCCCUGACAAAGGUGUAGGCGAUGCGGGCACUCUCCUUCAUCACCUUCCCUAGCUGGCCUGUGACCUUCAAGCUUCCGUCCUUGUCCCCCUUGUCCUUGACCCUCGGCCACCCCAGUGACAAACAGCACAGCGUAGAGCCGCCUAGGAGUGGAGAAGGCGGAGCCUGUGAACUCAGGUUCCCACUGGGGGUGCUAGGCAGAUUUUAAAGCCUAGUUCCUGCUCAGGGAACUCCUGCCUGGAGUGACCUGUCCAUUCAGCAGGGCCGUGUUUGCCGCGGAGGUAAUAAAUGAAGGCAACCAGAGCAUGAUGGCCUCAUAGGAUCUUUACAACGAAGUUCGUAGAGUGAUGAUUACUUAAACAGACCCAACAAAAUGAAAGAUACACUUGCCUGAAGACAGCAAGUAAGUGGAGAGUAGGGUCUUCCAGGAAGGUUUCCUAGUAGGGUUCGCCUCAGAGUCUGACAAGAUGGGUCAUAUCCAACUCUCCCAUUUCCCCACACCGAUGCUCAGAGUGCGGUCCCGGACCAGCGGCUUCAGCACCCGUCACCUGGGAAUUUGUUACAUUUGCAGUUCCCCGAAUCAGUGAUGCACAGUUGAUCUGGUGCAGAUCAGAAGUUUGAAAAGCCUCAGGUGUAAACAUUCUCCCAGCCACCAACACCCCCCUUCCGACAAUAAAAAAAGAAAAGAAAAAGCAAGCUUUGGAAUAGGAGUUCUGAAUCUGGGGUCUGCAAAUGAACCUUUAUGGGCCCUUAGCAAAUGUACCUCCAUACUUGCACGUGUCUGUGGGAGAGGAGAGGAGGGCCGAGUUUCAUCAGAUGUUCCAGGGGCUCCCCAAACCCUAAAGGCGCCAGGAACAGGUCCUUUAGGGUUAACUCAGAGGCACCCUGGUCGGAGUCAUGCGGAACAUUCAAUAAACAUUGACUGGUGGUCCCUCCUGUCGUUUAACUUCUAGUACUCGUACGGUGAGGACAGGAAAGGUGUUCCACACCGGACAUCAAAUUCAAGGGGUAGGUGGCUCCAUAUGUUAAUGAACUUCACAGUCAUUCUUUGCUUUUGUCUAAUCACUUGAUCAGAACAACCACUGCCUAGUAUUUUCUUGGGUGUGGUGUUGUGACAAGCCUAGAACAUGCCCGAGCCCUUGCCCUUUGAAAUAAGGGGUUUGUCUUUCCCAUUUCAUUAAAAAGCAAGGUCAGGUGACCUGAACAAAGCUAGGAGAUAGAAGUGGCUUGAGAACUACAAUCACCCGCGUCUUUAUCCAGUGUUCUAUUUGAUAGGGGGUUUUAAAUCUAGAAUAACAUAGGCAGUGAAGUGCUCCUUAUGUCUGGGUUACGUGACUGGCUUCAUUGCAUACGGCCCAUAACUGUGGUCUCCUUUGUUAUGUAUCUGUAUUCCUGGUCUGUUAAUGUGUGUACAUUAGUUAAUUAAUAGUCUGUUAAAACCUAUACACGCUUAUACUACUCUACAAGAAGCUGUCAUAGAAAUAAUCAUCUCACAUUUUUCUUCCGUUUGCCUCUUUAACUUUUCUUCUCCCUUCCUGAAUACAACCCUUUUUCUAAAAUUUGUGCCUCAUACCUAGAAUUGUAGUGCCCCAAAGCCUUUCCAGCUAAUGAAGAUACCUCAAGACCAGCGCUGGGCAUAGUAGCCAUGAAGCACAAAUUUUCAAAAAGGCAGAAAACUAACAGCCUCUUUGAAGAAUACUACUCUCUCACCAACCCCACAUCUCCUUGUGUAGCCCCGAAGAUGGCUGGUUAGCCAGAGACGGGUGAGAUUCCUCAAGGGAGGAACAACCGAAGGCAGGCACAGUCGCAGGGGGGCCAUCAGGUGAGAGAUUGGGGGCCAACAGAGGUGAGGCCUAGAACCUCAGCCCCCCAGUUUGAGAGAAAGCUUCUGCCCCCAUGGCUGUUGCCCCUGCUCAGCUCAGGUCAAAACCCGGUCUAUAGGCAUAGCCCUGCUCACCUGCGAUCACCUUCUAAUUGCACUGAAUCUAUUUUCUGUCUUUAUUUCACAUCACGUAAAUUCAAGAAGCGGACUUUUAUUUCAUACUGCAGAAUGUGGGGAAGUGAGCUAUGUUAAAGCCCUCCUGUUAGAAACUGUCUACUUGCUAUAUUCUUUAUUAUUAUUUAUCUACUACUUAAAAGGGAAAUGUGGGAUUAAUGGGGUUAAUACAUUAAUCAAGUAGAAUAGAAAUCAAAUGUACAAAUACAUAUGACUUCAUUGUUUUUCCUACAACUCUUGACCCGUAAUCAAAAACAGAAUGAUUAGAGCCGAAACAGCUCCUACCACCCCUGAGCGUCCUCACGUGGUGUGGGUAUCCUUGAGAGUCGUGCCCUUGGGCUAGACUCAAGGUCAGAUAAUUGUGUGCUGAUCAUGUGUUGAACCCCCUACUCAGAAUUUAGAUGUUUAAGUCCAUUUGCUCAAUAAAUAUGCGGAGUGUCUUUUCGUUACUCUUGCGCUGUGAUGGCUGGCCUCUCGGAUCUCAAGCAUUCCGCAUUCCGUCGCGUUCCCUCCAGAUCUGCGGGUCAGAAGCAGAGGGGAGCCGACCAGUGGUCAAACUGCAGUGAAAAGCCAAGAGUGCGGGUCAGAGCAAGUCCUAACGUGUCUUUCCUGCAUUACAAACAGGCUUCACACUUCCCUGUGAUGCCGGGUUCUUGUUUGCGGAGUUGAAGAGUGAACUCAGCAAACAGUUAAAGUCAGAGAGCCAGGGAGACUUAUUGAGAGAGACAGUGAGAGGACAGACGGAGCUCCUGGCUUGAGCCAGGAGGGGACAAGAGAGCCCGGGGUGGUGCGUUGUCCAGGGGUUUUAUAGGCAGUUGAGGAUAUUUGGGAAUGUGAAGAAAAACCUCAGGGGUGUGGACUUGUUAAGUGGUCUCUGAAUAUUAAAAAUUAACAUAAGGAAUUUCCUGUCUUGAUUUCUCCCUGGGAUACUGGCAUCUUGGUCUGGGAGCAUAUCAGAAGGCCGCCUUCCCAGUCCCCAAGGUGUUGAGGACGCAGGAGAGAAGAUGGGAAAGGUGCCCGUCCUAAUGGAACUACUUAGAUGGGCAGUCAGGGCAGAGGUAAGAUGCAGGCAAGCCCAUGACACGGGCUGGGGAACUGGCAUUUCACAGGGGCCCCCGACACAAAGGUCACACAGUUCCCCAGGGAGGUGCCAGCCUGGCAUGCAGGUUUCCAAAGGAAAGAACUGAGAAAGGUUCCCCGCUCAGAGCCUGCUCACCUGCCCCGAGGGCGAGGGAGGGCGCAGUGGGCGUUGGAAGGGAACUUAGUAGAAGGAAGGACAUCUCAGCAGACAACUUGCGGGGUGCUGAGGGCUUGGUGCGGGGAGGGGUCUGAUUGCCCCUCACUCCCUCCCAGUGGGGGGGAGCUGAAGGGCACACCUUGGCUCUGAGACCCUUAGGAGCAGAGUGGCGUGAUGCUGAAGGUGGAGGGAGGCGUGUGGACCAAUGUCUGCUUCCUGCCCAGAAGGGUAAGACGGAGGGCACCUUACACCUUAUCCUUAAGCCUGUGUUGGCUUCCCUCCAAAGAAGAUAAGCAAGAGGUGGUUCCUGGAUCUCUAGGAACUAGAGGCAGGAAUGCAGGUGACAACCCACCGAGCAAGGGGACAGUGGGGAAUUGUGUACCCAGGGCCUGCCUCACAAGAUCCCCUGCAUCUUAGUUAAUGCUCUGCUGUCACUGUCAUGAAAUCCUACUUUUUCUUUUACAACUUGUGCACUGUACCUAAAAAAACUUUUUAAUUGAAGGGUUGUUGACAUAUGAUAUAAUCUAAGUCCAGGUGCACAACAUGCUGAUUCAACAAUUAUAUCACAAAAUGCUCGCUGUAAGUGUAGUCACUAACUGAACCAUGCAGUUAUUAUAAUUUUAUUGACUCUAUUCCCAUGCUGUCUGUUUCAUCCCUGUGACAUAUUUAUUUUAUAACUGGAGGUUUGUACCUCUUGAUCCCUAUCAUCACUUUGCCCCACUGCCUACCUUCCUCCCCUAUGGCAACCACCCGUUUGUUCUCUGAUAUUUAUGAGUCUAUUUCUGUUUUUGUUUGUUUCAUUUUUUAGAUUCCACAGGUAGGUGAACUCACAGUGUUUGUCUCUCUCUGACUUACUUCACUUAGCAGGAUGCCCUCUAGGUCCAUCCCUGUGGCUGCGAAUGGCGAGAGUUCACUCUUUCUUAUGGCUGAGUAGUAGUCCAGUUUGCACGUGUACUUAUGUCUUUAUCCAUUCAUCCAUUGAUGGAUACUUAGGCAAAUACCCAGAAGUGGGUGACCUUCUUCAUAGUGUCUGAGCGAGGAGGCUUCUCCGCCACAGGCUGAUGUGGGAUAAAGCGCAGUAUUCUAUCUCCAUGAACUUUGGUUUCCUUCUUCCCGGUGCUAAGCGAGAAGAGAGAUGAGUGGUAGUUAAACAUCAGUGGAAAGCAAAUCUUUCGGGGGGGAGAGCCAUGGUGUUAUAGGUUGCUGCUGAACUUCUGAAGAGGUUCCCCUUGACCCAGAUGGCUGUGGGUAAUUGGAUUUUCUUGAAAAGUGAUGGGGCAGGCACUCCACCUUGUCCUGUCUCUCUUUCAAGGAUGUAUGACUCUAACUUGACUGGCCAAAACGCACUGUAAACCGACGUCAAAUUAAAAUGACUUCCUCUGUGCAGGCAGCUCUGCUAUCACGUGAAAUGUACAUUCCUAAAAAUCACUGCAUAUGGGCAAAAUGACGCAAUACAAACCACAGGGCUGUGGUAACAUAGUCAAAAACUUCGUCAGUGAAUCACACACCUAGAAAAGAACCUAAUGAACCUGAAGGCAGAAUUUUUAAGUAACCACUUUAUUGAGAUAUAUUUCAUACACUGUGACAUUCAUCCUUUCAAAGCACGUAAUUCAGCAGUUUUGAGAAGAUACACUGAGUUGUGCAACCAUCGCCAUUAUCGAUUUUAGAGUAUCAUCUUCCCAAAAAGAAACCACAUACAUGUCAGCCGUCACUCCCCAUCCCCUCCUCCAGCCUGUGAUAACCACUAACCUAUUUUCUGUCCCCACAGAUUUGCUUAUUCUGGACAUUUCACAUAAAUGGACUCAUACGAUAUUUGUCCUUACGUCUCUGGCUUCUCUCACGGAGCGUCAUGUUUUGGAGGUUCGUCUGCCUGGUAGCGUGUGUCAGCGAUCCACUACCUUAUAUUUUAUUACUCCAUUGUAUGGACUUACCUUUGUUUAUUAAUUCAUCCAUCUUUUGGUGGAUAUUUGGAUUUACUUUGGGCUAUGAUAAAUAAUGCCACUGUGAAAAUCUGUGUACAAGUCUCAUGUUUGCGUGUGUAUUCGUCUGUUGGCUGUAUAUACUCAGGAGUUCGCUGGGUCAUAUAGGACUCUGCUUAACUUUUCAAGGAGCUGCCCUACUGUUUUCCAAAGUAGCUGCACUAUUUGACAUUUCCACUAGCAGCAUGAAAGGGUUCCUUUUUCUCCACAUCCUCUCUCAUGAGCUGUCAUUAUCUGCCUUUCUUAUUACAGCUGGCCCAGUCAGUGUGAAG